rnacentral:rRNA from 1 species
CCUACGGGAGGCAGCAGUAGGGAAUCUUCCACAAUGGGCGAAAGCCUGAUGGAGCAACGCCGCGUGAGUGAUGAAGGCCUUCGGGUUGUAAAACUCUGUCAUUCGGGACGAACCGGAGUCUGAGGAAAUGCAGACUCUCUGACGGUACCGGAGGAGGAAGCCCCGGCUAACUACGUGCCAGCAGCCGCGGUAAUACGUAGGGGGCAAGCGUUGUCCGGAUUCACUGGGCGUAAAGCGCGCGCAGGCGGUGAUGUAAGUCUGAGGUGAAAACCCGAAGCUCAACUUCGGGACUGCCUUGGAUACUGCGUCACUUGAGGAUAGGAGAGGCAAGGGGAAUUCCACGUGUAGCGGUGAAAUGCGUAGAGAUGUGGAGGAACACCUGUGGCGAAGGCGCCUUGCUGGCCUAUUUCUGACGCUGAGGCGCGAAAGCGUGGGGAGCAAACAGGAUUAGAUACCCUGGUAGUCCACGCUGUAAACGAUGAGUGCUAGGUGUAGGUGGGCUCAUACCACUCUGUGCGAGCUACGCAUAGCACNCCGCCGUCGGGUAGGUACGGUCGCGACGACGUAGAACGUACGAAAGGAAGUUAGACGGCGUUGAGGACGUUGGCCGACGGACGACGACGAGGGGAGGUUAGGG